UACAGAGGUCUCAAGCGUUGUUCGGAUUCAUUGGGCGUAAAGGGUGCGUAGGUGGCGCCGUAAGUCAGGUGUGAAAUUUCGGAGCUUAACUCCGAAACUGCAUUUGAUACUGCGGUGCUUGAGGACUGGAGAGGAGACUGGAAUUCACGGUGUAGCAGUGAAAUGCGCAGAUAUCAGGAGGAACACCGGUGGCGAAGGCGGGUCUCUGGGCCGAUACUGACGCUGAGGAGCGAAAGCAUGGGGAGCGAACAGG
rnacentral:rRNA from 1 species